rnacentral:misc_RNA from 1 species
UCCUUUCUUAAUUUGUAAUGGACUUGAUAGACCUUCUCAUCCUUUUUUCGUCACUUGUCUUUCUCCGUUUAUGGUGGCGAUACUGGUCCCAUACUGGCGGUGGAGCAAAGAAUCUACCCCCUGGUCCGCCGGGUUGGCCGCUUGUAGGCAACUUGUUCCAAGUUAUACUCCAACGCCGUCCCUUCAUCUUUAUAGUACGUGAUUUACGUGCAAAGUAUG